GAUGAACGCUAGCUACAGGCUUAACACAUGCAAGUCGAGGGGCAGCAUGGUCUUAGCUUGCUAAGGCCGAUGGCGACCGGCGCACGGGUGAGUAACACGUAUCCAACCUGCCGUCUACUCUUGGACAGCCUUCUGAAAGGAAGAUUAAUACAAGAUGGCAUCAUGAGUCCGCAUGUUCACAUGAUUAAAGGUAUUCCGGUAGACGAUGGGGAUGCGUUCCAUUAGAUAGUAGGCGGGGUAACGGCCCACCUAGUCUUCGAUGGAUAGGGGUUCUGAGAGGAAGGUCCCCCACAUUGGAACUGAGACACGGUCCAAACUCCUACGGGAGGCAGCAGUGAGGAAUAUUGGUCAAUGGGCGCAGGCCUGAACCAGCCAAGUAGCGUGAAGGAUGACUGCCCUAUGGGUUGUAAACUUCUUUUAUAAAGGAAUAAAGUCGGGUAUGGAUACCCGUUUGCAUGUACUUUAUGAAUAAGGAUCGGCUAACUCCGUG
rnacentral:rRNA from 1 species